UGACUGAGAUGGGCAGUGACGAACCAAAAAAUUCACAGCUUGUCCCAGAUCCGGAAGAAGUCUUAGACGACUGUGGUUCGGGAAUAGAAAGAUUCACUAGGAUGAUCAAUUUUACAUGGGGCGUGCUUGUCUUCUUUCUCCAGUUGUGGGCCUUACUUAUUUCAACAAUGAAUGUGGAUAUAGACCCUACUGGCUUCUUAGUUGGCAUCUACCUCGUUAUGCUCGCAGCACUGGCGAUAUUCGAAAAGGUCAGGAGUAUUGAUAUUGCUCGCUGUUUG
rnacentral:lncRNA from 1 species